rnacentral:lncRNA from 1 species
GUAGAAUUGCUUUUGCUGAUUAUGUAUUGCGGUCUGAUGUUUUUGUAUGAAUUUUAUAUGUUGUUCGCCGCUUUGAAUCCCACCCAUGGGAGAAAGGCGGGAUAGAAAUGAAUUAAUAAUAAUAAUAACUUUUUUUUUCAUGUCAGGAGCAACUUGUGAACUCUGUUCUUUUCAAUGGGACAACAUAUGUAAGCAUAAAGAUGAGGGUGUAGCUUGCACAGGAGAUCCCAAGUGAAUGAGUGAAGCCAUCAUUAAGGGAAACCAUGUAUAUUGAUUCCGUCGACAGGGAGGUCAUAUUGUACUGGUUCUCUUUAGAUCCUUCUCAAAGAUCAAAAUGAAGGCAAAUGAAGGAGAAGAGACUUGUAGUUGGGUGAAUGGAUAGGAGAUGCUGCUUCAGGCAUGCAGUGUAAUGUCACAGAAAGCACUGCAUUAUUAUUAUUAUUAUUAUUAUUAUUAUUAUUAUUAUGUUUAUUAUUAUUAUGUUUAUUAUGUUUAUUUAUAUCCUUUUCUCUCCAUAAGGGGACUCAAAAUGGCUAACAUUAAAAGCAUUACACUACAAUUUAAAAUAUACAGAUAUUAAAACAGUACUAAACAUCAUUAGUAUUAAAACAGUCAUAGGCCCGGAAAGAAAUUAGUUACUGAGUGCAAAAGAAAAUGAAUGGCUGCGUGAAAGCAAAAAAGGAACAUAAUGAGCAAAAGUAAACAAUUUUUGUCACUGUGGAUGGUGAAACAAGAGGCUAUAGACAUUUACAGACCAGAAUUAGGACCAGAAUUAGGAACUACAGCUCCUGCCAUGAGCACUGUGCCUGACUGGAGGAUUCUGGAAGCCCAAAGCUUAAUUUUAAAAUCUCUGCUCCUAACCAAAACAUGUUUUUUCCCUUUCAAACAGGACAGUGUCUGACUGCACAAUCAUGAAUACAGAAGAAAUUUUUGUGUGUACAAAAGUAGAAAAUGAACGGUGUUGUUUUAAGUCAGUACUAAGGCAUGAUUACAUAAAGAAUAUUCAAGACCUAACCAAGGAGGAAGCAAAAAUAGCAGCUGCAGCAAAGGAAGGAGCAAUUGAAAUCCUAAAAGAUGCCUUAAAGAAGAAGGACAAAGUGCUGAUGAAAAUACCAACAAAAGUUGUUACUAAAGGGGAAGCGAAAGAGCCAUUUUGGAUGAAACGUCAUGCAAUAUUAACAGAAGAUCUAGUGAAGAAACUCCUUGUAGAACUGAAGAUAGUUAGAUUUAAGAAGGACAUUUACAAGAACAAUAUCUUUGCAUAUGUAAAGCCACGUGAUGAAACAAGAACCAUUUAUUUGUGUAACUUAUUCUGGGAUGCUCCAAAGUAUCUUCAAGAAAAUUCUCAACCAGGUACCCUCAUCCAUGAAGUGUCUCACUUUCUGGGUACUGCUGACAUCGUCUAUGGCAAUUAUGAAAACCCUACCCUUCAAAUAGGCUGCAAAGGGGACAUGGUAAAAGAUGUGCACUUCAGACCUGCAUCCAGUUCAACUGCCUCUCCUGUUGAGGAAGAGGUCCACGAUGCCCUUUGGAAAGCCUUCUGGAAUGCUGAUAAUGUGGAGUAUGAGUUUGAGCGCACCAUCAACCACAAAGGAUCUUAUGAGGGUGGCAAAUACUCCUGCUGCAGGGAAACAGCAAGAUACUCGGUCUGUGAUCAGUCUGUGCCUGACUUCUUCCUCACUUGCAGAGUUGGAGAAAGGUGGGAAAUUGAACCAUUAGUAAAAGAACUAUGUCACAGAUCAAGGAAAAUAAAAGACAAGUUGAGAGACUGUCAGAGAAUUCCAAAGGAUGUGGCAGAGUAUCCCAAAAAAGCUGAAACGUCAAGGAAUGUUGGCCUUCCUGUGGAUGUUACUAGAGGAAGAGCAGCAGACACAGGCCUCCUUCUGGCUUUUGACACAUUUACGAUUUCUUCAUCAGGGGAAGGAUAUCAAGGAAUAGCCGCAGGUGGAGCUGGUGCCAUUUCCAAGAAGAAAAUAACAACUACAGCAAUCACCAAAAUGAACCUGUUGGAGGGCAUCUUUGCUGAAUGCCAACAUUUCCUGGAUGAUGUCAGUGGAGCUAUAGCUUCCUUAAAUGAUAAAGCUGGAAUCCGGAGAGAUUUUGGCAUUCAGCGUACAAGAGGUUUGAUAAAUCUAAUGAAGGAACAAGUUGAAUCCGAGAGAGAUGAUGAGCUGAAAAUGCAUAUGUACAUGGGGUAUAUGAUACAGUGUGAUAAUCUCCUGGAAAGUCUGUGCAUUAUGAGUAAAUAG